rnacentral:rRNA from 1 species
AUUCAAUAAGCGGAGGAAAAGAAACCAACAGGGAUUGCCCUAGUAACGGCGAGUGAAGCGGCAACAGCUCAAAUUUGAAAUCUGGCUCUUUCAGAGUCCGAGUUGUAAUUUGCAGAGGGCGCUUUGGCUUUGGCAGCGGUCCAAGUUCCUUGGAACAGGACGUCACAGAGGGUGAGAAUCCCGUACGUGGUCGCUAGCUAUUGCCGUGUAAAGCCCCUUCGACGAGUCGAGUUGUUUGGGAAUGCAGCUCUAAAUGGGAGGUAAAUUUCUUCUAAAGCUAAAUAUUGGCCAGAGACCGAUAGCGCACAAGUAGAGUGAUCGAAAGAUGAAAAGCACUUUGGAAAGAGAGUCAAACAGCACGUGAAAUUGUUGAAAGGGAAGCGCUUGCAGCCAGACAUGCUUGCAGUUGCUCAUCCGGGCUUUUGCCCGGUGCACUCUUCUGUAGGCAGGCCAGCAUCAGUUUGGGCGGUGGGAUAAAGGUCUCUGUCACGUACCUCUCUUCGGGGAGGCCUUAUAGGGGAGACGACAUAGCACCAGCCUAGACUGAGGUCCGCGCAUCUGCUAGGAUGCUGGCGUAAUGGCUGUAAGCGGCCCGUCUUGAAACACGGACCAAGGAGUCUAACAUCUAUGCGAGUGUUUGGGUGUCAAGCCCGAGCGCGUAAUGAAAGUGAACGGAGGUGGGAACCCGCAAGGGUGCACCAUCGACCGAUCCUGAAGUUUACGGAAGGAUUUGAGUAAGAGCAUGGCUGUUGGGACCCGAAAGAUGGUGAACUAUGCUUGAAUAGGGUGAAGCCAGAGGAAACUCUGGUGGAGGCUCGCAGCGGUUCUGACGUGCAAAUCGAUCGUCAAAUUUGGGCAUAGGGGCGAAAGACUAAUCGAACUAUCUAGUAGC